AUUGAACGCUGGCGGCAGGCCUAACACAUGCAAGUCGAGCGGAUGAAGGGAGCUUGCUCCUGGAUUCAGCGGCGGACGGGUGAGUAAUGCCUAGGAAUCUGCCUGGUAGUGGGGGAUAACGUCCGGAAACGGGCGCUAAUACCGCAUACGUCCUGAGGGAGAAAGUGGGGGAUCUUCGGACCUCACGCUAUCUGAUGAGCCUAGGUCGGAUUAGCUAGUUGGUGGGGUAAAGGCCUACCAAGGCGACGAUCCGUAACUGGUCUGAGAGGAUGAUCAGUCACACUGGAACUGAGACACGGUCCAGACUCCUACGGGAGGCAGCAGUGGGGAAUAUUGGACGAAGGGCGAAAGCCUGAUCCAGCCAUGCCGCGUGUGUGAAGAAGGUCUUCGGAUUGUAAAGCACUUUAAGUUGGGGGGAAGGGCAGUAAGUUAAUACCUUGCUGUUUUGACGUUACCAACAGAAUAAGCACCGGCUAACUUCGUG
rnacentral:rRNA from 1 species